rnacentral:rRNA from 1 species
GACGAACGCUGGCGGCGUGCUUAACACAUGCAAGUCGAACGGAAAGGCCCUGCUUUUGUGGGGUGCUCGAGUGGCGAACGGGUGAGUAACACGUGAGUAACCUGCCCUUGACUUUGGGAUAACUUCAGGAAACUGGGGCUAAUACCGGAUAGGAGCUCCUGCUGCAUGGUGGGGGUUGGAAAGUUUCGGCGGUUGGGGAUGGACUCGCGGCUUAUCAGCUUGUUGGUGGGGUAGUGGCUUACCAAGGCUUUGACGGGUAGCCGGCCUGAGAGGGUGACCGGCAACAUAAGGACUGAGAUGCGCACCAGACUCCUACAGGAGGCAGUAAGGGAGAGUGUGGCACGAUAGGCGGAAGCCUGAAGCAGCAGCGCGGGGUGGGUGAUGACCGCCUUCGGGUUGUAGACCGCUUACGCCUGUGACGAAUCGUGGAUGACAGUAAUGGGUAAAGAAGCACCGGCCAACUUC